rnacentral:tRNA from 1 species
GUUUAAGUAAUUUAAGUUGAAAAUACUAGUCUUGUAAACUAGCAAUAAGAGUAAUCUUAUUAAACA